rnacentral:rRNA from 1 species
GGGGGGGGGGGGGGGGGGGCGUGGUGGAUGGAAGUCGAGCGGACAGACGAGGGGCUUGCUCCUCUGACGUUAGCGGCGGACGGGUGAGUAACACGUGGAUAACCUACCUAUAAGACUGGGAUAACUUCGGGAAACCGGAGCUAAUACCGGAUAAUAUAUUGAACCGCAUGGUUCAAUAGUGAAAGACGGUUUUGCUGUCACUUAUAGAUGGAUCCGCGCCGCAUUAGCUAGUUGGUAAGGUAACGGCUUACCAAGGCGACGAUGCGUAGCCGACCUGAGAGGGUGAUCGGCCACACUGGAACUGAGACACGGUCCAGACUCCUACGGGAGGCAGCAGUAGGGAAUCUUCCGCAAUAGGCGAAAGCCUGACGGAGCAACGCCGCGUGAGUGAUGAAGGUCUUCGGGUCGUAAAACUCUGUUAUUAGGGAAGAACAAAUGUGUAAGUAACUAUGCACGUCUUGACGGUACCUAAUCAGAAAGCCACGGCUAACUACGUG